CGUAGGUGGCAAGCGUUGUCCGGAUUUAUUGGGUUUAAAGGGUGCGUAGGCGGUUCCAUAAGUCAGUGGUGAAAUACGGCAGCUCAACUGUCGAGGUGCCAUUGAUACUGCGGAACUUGAGUACCGAUGAGGUAGGCGGAAUUGACGGUGUAGCGGUGAAAUGCUUAGAUAUCGUCAAGAACACCGAUAGCGAAGGCAGCUUACCAAGCAGUAACUGACGCUGAGGCACGAAAGUGCGGGGAUCAAACAGGAUUAGAUACCCUGGUAGUCCGCACAGUAAACGAUGAUUACUCGAUGUUGGCGAUACACAGCCAGCGUCUUAGCGAAAGCGAUAAGUAAUCCACCUGGGGAGUACGCCCGCAAGGGUG
rnacentral:rRNA from 1 species